UCAGUGUUAACACAGGAUCCCUACAGUCUAGAGAGUAUUAUCCCCAUUUUUCAGUGGAGGAGGUAAUGAAGGCUAUGGAAGAUGACUCCUCUGGGGCCCACAGUGAGGUAUGUAGGAUUUUGGUCAUAACCUAUCCCCAAUUCCCAGUCUUCCUUACAAUUGUGCUGUGCUGUUACAGAGUCCUGGAACAAGGGCCGAAGUGACAUUGCAGCUGGACCACUGAAACAGCUUGCAAACUCCGGUUCAUGUGACUCGAGGCCAAGGACUCCAAGAUGGAGUGAUGAGGAGAAGGAGAGAGCCAGAUCUUAGCCUUGCCAUUUGGAAGAGGGCUUUGCUAUUCAUCCUUUUGGAUCCUGCAAUUCAUCGUCCUGAGUGGAUUUGUUGCAAAAGCAAGAUCAGGACCAAUCUGACGUCUACAAUGGCAUCGUCUCCUACGGGGUCCAUGAUCUGCCAGUAGGGGAUUCUCUGAAGCAAUUAGGACAGAUGCAUUGUACAAGCUUACAGGCAUAACACAGCCAUCAGGCAAGGACAGCACCUUCAGAUGGAUGCAGGAGAGUAACAUAUGGAUGGAGAAGACACACUGUGAGCUCUCGCAGGCAACUUUUUCACUGUGUCUCUUCCUUCAGGCAACAGAGCCCUGGAACAAAACAGAAUCUGGAAAAUAGACAUUGCAUCGAAUCUCAUGUAGCUUCCAAUUGUGCUUAAGCUUGUCUAAGGUGCAGGUCCGGGGAGGAGGAGCUAUAAAAUAAUGUUUGGAACAUUCUUCCUAAGAUCCAUAGCUCCACUUUGACUUCUUCAACAUUAAGAGGGAUAAAGUCCUGGUUACUUCUGCUGUGUUCCCAAGGCCCAUGAAAGCCAGACACUAGACUCCUGUUGGAUCUAAAAGGAAACUCCUAAGUAAGUCCACAAUGUUACUGGGAAAAUGUCUUGAAGGGCCAGUGUUUCUGAUUUCUCAGAUCCUGAGAGGCAGUCAUGGCUGACAAGAUACAAAUGUUUACAAGCUAAGAGCUCAUCUUAGAGAAGGGGAAUCAGCGACUUAGAAGCCACAAAUGAUCCUCAGGCACUAUAUGUUAUGGGAGAAAAGGCUAUGGGAUGGUGAGGACGCACCGGGUGACACUGAACAAACCCCUGAAGGGGGCUGUAUGGACAGAAGCUUUGGGACCAUCCCAGGGCCUCCUGAGCUGCUCAAACUGUGUCCUACCCCCAGGCAUGAGGGCAAAUGAAAACAAGAAGGGCGGAGAAGCAACAGAAACCACAUCACCCCAUCCUCCUUGCCAUCUGGUGGGCCCUGGAAACCAUCAGUAUAUUUAGUUACUAUGUUUACACAGGAGGCAGGACCCACAUUGCUUGCUCCAGGCUCCCCCAGAGCUGUUGGAAUGGUCUCUACUUCCCUGAGAUCCUAAGGACCACUCCCAACCCCUGUACACACAGGGCUGAAGAUCUACCCAGUCCUGGGGUUUGAGAAAACUGGGGGUUCAGUUGUCCAAAGUGGAGGGAUGUUUAGGUCACCUUAGACCUCAUCUAGCAUUUGCCUGGGGCCUGGGUGUCAAUUUGGGAAGGACGACUUGAGAAGCCAGGAAGGGCUUAGGAUCGUCCGGCUGCGCAAGCUGCCAGGUUGAGGACAGUGGAUGGCUGAAUCAUGAAUAUUAACCAUGGAGCCUGGACCAUGGCAGCAGCUCACUGGACACAGACUUUUAAUAACCAUGGCUCUAUCUCUGCUUCAGAUACGGGACAUAUGUGCCUGCUUAGAAAGUAGGUUGCAUGUGAUGGGUUUUUCCCACUCCAUUUUUUUUUUUUUUGAGUAGAAAAGCUGAGGUUUAUAAAGGUUCACUACUUCCUAUCUGACCAGGACAGUUAAUAAAGGAUGACCAGAAUUUGAAGGUGGCUUCUUCAUCUCUACCCAAUUUUGGGAAAUAAAGUCAUGGAUAAACUGU
ensembl:lincRNA 4933434M16Rik RIKEN cDNA 4933434M16 gene